ACAUGCAAGUCGAACGGCAGCACGGAGCUUGCUCUGGUGGCGAGUGGCGAACGGGUGAGUAAUAUAUCGGAACGUACCCAAGAGUGGGGGAUAACGUAGCGAAAGUUACGCUAAUACCGCAUACGAUCUAAGGAUGAAAGUGGGGGACCGCAAGGCCUCGUGCUCCUGGAGCGGCCGAUAUCUGAUUAGCUAGUUGGUGAGGUAAAGGCUCACCAAGGCAUCGAUCAGUAGCUGGUCUGAGAGGACGACCAGCCACACUGGAACUGAGACACGGUCCAGACUCCUACGGGAGGCAGCAGUGGGGAAUUUUGGACAAUGGGGGCAACCCUGAUCCAGCAAUGCCGCGUGAGUGAAGAAGGCCUUCGGGUUGUAAAGCUCUUUUGUCAGGGAAGAAACGGUGAGGGCUAAUAUCCCUUGCUAAUGACGGUACCUGAAGAAUAAGCACCGGCUAACUACGUGCCAGCAGCCGCGGUAAUACGUAGGGUGCAAGCGUUAAUCGGAAUUACUGGGCGUAAAGCGUGCGCAGGCGGUUUUGUAAGACUGUCGUGAAAUCCCCGGGCUCAACCUGGGAAUGGCGAUGGUGACUGCAAGGCUAGAGUUUGGCAGAGGGGGGUAGAAUUCCACGUGUAGCAGUGAAAUGCGUAGAUAUGUGGAGGAACACCGAUGGCGAAGGCAGCCCCCUGGGUCAAAACUGACGCUCAUGCACGAAAGCGUGGGGAGCAAACAGGAUUAGAUACCCUGGUAGUCCACGCCCUAAACGAUGUCUACUAGUUGUCGGGUCUUAAUUGACUUGGUAACGCAGCUAACGCGUGAAGUAGACCGCCUGGGGAGUACGGUCGCAAGAUUAAAACUCAAAGGAAUUGACGGGGACCCGCACAAGCGGUGGAUGAUGUGGAUUAAUUCGAUGCAACGCGAAAAACCUUACCUACCCUUGACAUGGCAGGAAUCCCGGAGAGAUUUGGGAGUGCUCGAAAGAGAACCUGCACACAGGUGCUGCAUGGCUGUCGUCAGCUCGUGUCGUGAGAUGUUGGGUUAAGUCCCGCAACGAGCGCAACCCUUGUCAUUAGUUGCUACGCAAGAGCACUCUAAUGAGACUGCCGGUGACAAACCGGAGGAAGGUGGGGAUGACGUCAAGUCCUCAUGGCCCUUAUGGGUAGGGCUUCACACGUCAUACAAUGGUACAUACAGAGGGCCGCCAACCCGCGAGGGGGAGCUAAUCCCAGAAAGUGUAUCGUAGUCCGGAUUGUAGUCUGCAACUCGACUGCAUGAAGUUGGAAUCGCUAGUAAUCGCGGAUCAGCAUGUCGCGGUGAAUACGUUCCCGGGUCUUGUACACACCGCCCGUCACACCAUGGGAGCGGGUUUUACCAGAAGUAGGUAGCUUAACCGCAAGGAGGGCGCUUACCACGGUAGGAUUCGUGACUGGGGUGAAGUCGUAACAAGAGCCCC
rnacentral:rRNA from 1 species